UGGGUGCCAGGGCAAACACAAUGAGAAAGCAGCUCCACAGAAGAGCCUUGCUUCCUGCAAGGAAAUCCACCCAACAUGCUGACUGGCUGCUGCUCAGGCAUGAGCUCUAGGGCUCAUCAGGAAUCCUCUCCAGAUGCAGAAACUGAGUCUUUGAGAACUUGAGAAAAUUCCUUGUGAUGAAACAACUAUGGCAGAUCUGGAAAUGGAACCCAACACAUUAUUCCAGA